GUCAGCACCAUGUGAGAUGUGAGGCGCACGUUCUCUAGGAGAUAAUCCGCGCUUCAGGGAUUCUCAAGGGGCUGGAGAGAUCCACACGGGAAAAGUUGUAGAAACAGCAAAGCCACCUAUUGGCUGGGUGUUAUACACAAACAACGAAUCACAGAACGCUGCAUCAAAAACUAAUGAUGUGGGGUGCCUGGGUGGCUCAGUGGGUUAAGCCGCUGCCUUCGGCUCAGGUCAUGAUCUCAGGGUCCUGGGAUCGAGUCCCGCAUCGGGCUCUCUGCUCGGCAGGGAGCCUGCUUCCUUCUCUCUCUCUCUCUGCCUGCCUCUCAGUGUACUUGUAAUUUCUCUCUGUCAAAUAAAUAAAUAAAAACUUAAAAAACAAAACAAAACUAAUGAUGUACUGUAUAGUGACUAACAACAUGAUUAGAAAAAAAAAAAGCAAGGCCACUCACAGUUAAGUGAUGAGAGGAAACAGACCAUAAGACUCAAGGAAUUGGAGUGGGUGGGAGGGAAAAGCACAAGACUAGGGAGGGAAUGAGAAAUGUACGGGCCUAGAAGAUUUUUAGUGACAAGUAAGGAAUAGAUCAGUAGUGGAGGCAAGGCUGAUACUCGCAAACUUCGCGGACCCGCCCAGCAGUGGUGAUGGACCACAGGCUGGGGAAGCCUCUGGAGGGUGGUUGUUGAGUGGUGGCCGGGGAUAUCUGGGGAACCUGGGGAAGCAGCAAGAUGGUCAGGAUGGUGGGGGUCACUCAGGGUGCUUGGGACAGUGACUAUUUUCUAUCUAGAUAGUUCUAUCUAGUAUCUGUAUACUAGUUCUAUCUAGUAUCCAGUAUCUGCUGAAAAUCAGUCCUGAAUGAGGGCAAAAUGUAUAAGAACGUGUAAUAUUUGCUUUUGUAUCUGGCAUUUCAUUUGAUCUACCUAUCUGUGGAUCUAUUUAUCUGUCUUUCUGUCUGUCCACAAGAAACGAAAAACACAGGUGAAGGGGCGGACAUGGGUCUGAAGGCAGCCAUCACUCAUCUUUCAUUCAGUCCCUUCACCAUGCCUCUCACGAACUCGGGGCCCCUGGGUGUUGGCAGCUGGGCCCGGAGCUGAGGAGUCCAUCCAGAGCUGGAAUUGUCACCUGGGAACUGGAAGUCAUGCCACAAGCCCUGACAGAAUCUGAAAAUGGCAACAGGAGGAAACAAGUGAAUCAUCAUCUGAGUAUGGAUCCAAGUGAGGCGUCAGGGGAGGCGGGUCUGACAGGGAGGCAGGAACCCAUCAGAAAUCCAAUCACGGUGUUUUGUCGGGAACUUAUAGCUCUCCAGCAUUGCAAACAGGUUUGAGAAGGAAACAAAUAGAGCCUGAACCAACUGGACUCGAGAAUAGUAAUAUUACCAUCAUUUCGAUUUCCGUGGCUCAUUAAGAUUUGCAAAGCAUUUUCAAAUAUCUAGUUGAGCCUUCCUGACAAGUGGUAAAGCAAAUAGUGCAAAGAUUCUCAUCUACUGCUAGGGCAAAUCAGGUUUGGAGAAGGAGAGUAACUUGCCCAUUUCUUUUUAAGUAGGGUUACCAGUUGAGUAGCUCAAGGAGAGGCCAUAAACACAGAAUAUCUUCAUUUUCAUUCCAGCACAUACAAAGAGUUGCAUUGAUAUGCAUACACAUCAAUGAAUAUGGCUGGGGAAAGAGCUCAGACUGACAAAGCAUCUAUUUUUAAAAAUUGUCUUUUUUUCUGUUUACCUCUGUCUUAAUUAGCAACCCACAUAAGGACAAGAAAGUGAGCCUGUGCUGUCCGAAGACUAAAAAAGCAGAGAGAAUAAUCAGUCAGAGACCUUGAAAGACAGACAGGCAAACUUCCUUCUGCAAAGAGGAAAAAGCCACCAAUCGACUGAGCAAAGACUGGUCCACAGACAGACGGUCAGCCUCCAGGGGAACCAAGAUGAAGCUAAAGAGUAAAGGAGGAUUUCUCCGAAUUUUCAUGAAAAGUAAGAGAACCCAAGAAAUGCAAUUAUUAAUAACUGGAAUAAUAAAACAAGAUAGAAAUGUCAACAUGUUCUCCAUGGAACCCUGAGGACGUAAUUCAUAAGGAUUAACUGCGUUGGGACUGAAAUUACAUCCUCUGCACCUUGGAAGCUCAAGAACACAUCUUUAAGUGCAGACCUGCUGACAUGUCAUAAUGUCAAAGGCAGUAACAACAUUUCUUCAAAGAUCACAUGCAGGUGGCCAGCAAGUAUGUGAAAAGUUGUUCAGUAUCCCUCACCAUCAGAGAAAUGCAAAUCAAAACCACAACAAGCUGUCAUUUCACACCCGCGAAGACGGAUGCUCUUAUAAAAAUGAAAAAUAUCAAGCGCUGGUGAGGAUGUGGAGACGUUGGAAACCUUGUGCACUGUUGGCAGGAUGGUGAAACGGCACAGCCUCCAUGGAAAACCACAUGGAGGUUCCUAAAACAUUAAAAAUAGAAAUGCAUGCAGCAAUUCCACUUCUGGGUCUAUGUUGAAAGCAGCUACUUGAACAAAGUUCACAGCAGAUUUUUCACAAGAGACAACAUGUAGAAGCAACCCAAUUGCCCACCAAUGGAUAAAUGGGUAAACAAAAUGUGGUAUGUAUAUACACACACAGACACAAGGGGAUAUUAUUCAGCUUUAAAAGGGAAGGAAAUCUUGUCACAGGCUACAACACGGAUGCACCUUGAAGACAUCACGCUCAGUGAAAUAAGUCAGUGAUGGAAGGACAAGUACCCUACAAUUCCACCUAUGUGAGGAAUCUGAAGUAGUAAAAAAAAAAAAUUUUUUUUCCCACAGAAACAGAAAGUAGAAUGGUGUUUGUAAGUGGAAGGGGGAAAAGAGAAGUUAUUGUUUAAUGAAUACAGUUUCAGUUUUGCAAGAUAAAAAAGUUCUGGUGACGUGUUUCACAAUUAUGAAUGUAUUUAAGAUAGUGAACUGAUCGCUUAGAAAUGGUUAAGGUGGUAGAUUUUAUGUUAGGUGUUUACCACAAUUAAAGAAUAUAAACCAAACUGAAAAUAAAAUAAAAAAUAUUUUUAAGUGAAAAAAAAAGAAUAUAAACCAUACUACAAGAUAAUUAGGGCAGUGCUGCCCUUUUAUAACAUUUUGGAUUGCUAUAAAACAGUGAUGUUAUACAGUUAAUGUUAAGGUUUGGUUUGAUAAAACAUUUUCAUGGAAACUGCUAAUCUGUAUUCACUUGGGGUUUAUAAUUCUUGAAGUUGUCAGGUUAAACCUAGUGACAACAUAGCAAUGGAUGAGAAUAGGACAGAAGUAAAAAUUACUAGAUACUGGAAUGGGUUUUUUUAAGUGGGUAUUAAAUUUGACUCAAGCUCACUGAUAAACCUGAGAUAUAAAGGAAUAACACAAUAAACUGUGAAUUUUUGUCCAGACUAGUGAAGACAUGUUUGUCUGAAUACAUAGGGAGGAGGAGGAAAGAGAAAGAGAGGUGUGGGGAGAGAUCUAAUUAGAAUUAUGGUGAACUCUCUUAUUAUGUCAUCCUAUGGAGUUAAGCAAUUUCUCUCUCCAACUCCUCCUGCUAUUUUAGUAAAACAUGCACACAGAAAAUUCAGGUACGGCAUUUUUUAAUACUGGAAAACUGGUUGAGACAUAGUCAAACAGAAUUAUUGUUACUGUUGGUGAAUUUGAGUGAAAUUUAGGUCUGUUUCCAACAUUUUUUUAGUUUCUAAGAAGACCAAAGUGAAGGGAAGGAAGAGUAACUCUUUUUCCAUUUUGCUUGAUCAUGAACAAUAGGCUUUCUCAUCUCCAGCCCAGAAUCUUGUUUACAACCACGAAGUUCCAUUAAUAACCCUAUGGUUAAUUAAGUGAUUCCAAGUCAUAUUUCAUACUGUUGGGAAGAUUUGGAACAAGGCAGAUUGGUUGGUUAUAUGUGACUCAAGUUACUGAGAUGCUCUUUUUCUUUUUUUAAAGCUAUUUAUUUAUUUUAAAUAUUUUUAAUUUAAAUUCAGUUAAUUAACAUAUAGUAGUGUAUUAUUAGUUUCAGAGGUAGAAACUAACAACUCAUUGGUCUUAUAAAAUACCCGGUGCUCAUCACAUCAUGUGCCCUCCCUGAUGUUCAUUAUCCAGUUACCCCAUCCCCCCAUGCACCACACCCCCAAAAUCUCUCAGUUUGUUUCUUAUGAUUAAGAGUUUCUCAUGGUUUUUCUACCUUUCUGAUUUCAUCCGGUUUUGUUUUUUCAAACAAAUGAUCCUUUGUUUUGUUUCUUAAAUUCCACAUAUAAGUGAGGUCAUAUGAUAAUUAUCAUUCUCUGAUUGACUUAUUUUGCUUAACAUAAUACCCUCUAGCUCCAUCCACAUCCUUACA